GCCCAGGUGGUGAAACUGGCAGACACGUACGGUUCAGGGCCGUAUGAGAGCAAUCUCGUGGGAGUUCAAAUCUCCCCCUGGGCA
rnacentral:tRNA from 1 species